GAUGAACGCUGGCGGCGUGCCUAAUACAUGCAAGUCGAGCGAACGGACGAUAAGCUUGCUUCUCUGAUGUUAGCGGCGGACGGGUGAGUAACACGUGGAUAACCUACCUAUAAGACUGGGAUAACUUCGGGAAACCGGAGCUAAUACCGGAUAAUAUUUUGAACCGCAUGGUUCAAAAGUGAAUGACGGUCUUGCUGUCACUUAUAGAUGGAUCCGCGCUGCAUUAGCUAGUUGGUAAGGUAACGGCUUACCAAGGCAACGAUGCAUAUCCGACCUGAGAGGGGGACAGGCCACACGGGACCGGGGCAACGGUCCAGACCCCUAGGGGAGGAGGCAGUGGGAAAUUUGGCGCAAGGGGGGAAAGCUGAACGGAGCAACGCGGGGGGAGUGAUGAGGGUUUUCGGUUCGUAAAACCUUGUUAUGAGAAAAAAACACAUGUGUAAGUAACUGUGCACAUCUUGCCGUACCCAAAUCAGAAGGCCAGGCCUAACUCCGU
rnacentral:rRNA from 1 species